ACUCAAAUGAAUUGACGGGGGCUCACACAAGCGGUGGAGCAUGUGGUUCAAUUCGAAGCAACGCGAAGAACCUUACCAGGCCUAGACAUCAGGAUGUAACCCCCUGAAAGGGGGGCCAACUCGCAAGAGAAAUCCUGUGCAGGUGUUGCAUGGCUGUCGUCAGCUCGUGUCGUGAGAUGUCGGGUUAAGUCCCAUAACGAGCGAAACCCCUGCCGUUAGUUGCUAACAGGUGAUGCUGAGCACUCUAGCGGGACUGCCUCGUAAGACGGAGGAAGGUGGGGACGACGUCAAGUCAUCAUGGCCUUUAUGGCCUGGGCUACACACGUGCUACAAUGGUCGGUACAAAGGGAUCCGAUGCCGUGAGGCGGGGGAAAUCUCAGAAAGCCGGCCCCAGUACGGAUUGAAGGCUGCAACUCGCCUUCAUGAAGCCGGAAUCGCUAGUAAUCGCGGGUCAGCCAUACCGCGGUGAAUAUGUUCCUGAGCCUUGUACACACCGCCCGU
rnacentral:rRNA from 1 species